rnacentral:rRNA from 1 species
ACUAAUCCUAGCCUGACAACCGCACAACCCAACUACAAUACAACAAUAAAACAAAACAUUUAAUUUUUAAAGUAUAGGAGAUAGAAAUUUAUAUAAGCGCUAUAGAGAUAGUACCGCAAGGGAAAGAUGAAAGAAGAAUAAAAGUACCAAAAAGCAUAGAUUACCCCUAGUACCUUUUGCAUAAUGAAUUAGCUAGAAAAUUCUGACAAAAAGAUCUUAAGUCAAAACCCCCGAAACCAAGCGAGCUACUUUUAAACAGCUAAAAUGAGCAAACUCGUCUAUGUAGCAAAAUAGUGAGAAGAUUUAAAAGUAGAGGUGAAAAGCCUACCGAGCUUGGAGAUAGCUGGUUAUCCAAAUAUGAAUUUUAGUUCAACUUUAAGUUUUCCUAAAAACUUAAAAUUCUAAUGAAAACUUAAAUGUUAUUUUAAGGAGGGACAGCUCCUUAAACAAGGAUACAUCCUUAAGCAGAGGGUAAAAAUUAUAACCACCAUAGUAGGCCUAAAAGCAGCCAUCAAUUAAGAAAGCGUUCAAGCUCAACAAAACCACAAUACAUUAUUCCAAAAGCACAUAACUAACCCCUGCAAAGACAUUGGAUUAAUCUAUAAAAGCAUAGAAGCAACACUGUUAAUACUAGUAAUCAGAAAUAUUUCUCCUUGCACAAGCCUAAGUUAAACAACUUUAACCAAUUAGCAGUUUUAUAAAAAAUUCACUUCCCAAGUCAAUUAUUACAAAAACUGUUAACCCAACCCAGGAGUGCAACAAAGGAAAGACUAAAAUAAAAAAAAGGAACUCGGCAAACACAAACCCCGCCUGUUUACCAAAAACAUCACCUCUAGCAUACCAAGUAUUAGAGGCUCUGCCUGCCCAGUGACAAUUAACGUUCAACGGCCGCGGUAUCCUGACCGUGCAAAGGUAGCAUAAUCACUUGUUCUUUAAAUAAGGACUAGCAUGAAGGGCUUGACGAGGGUUUAACUGUCUCUUUUUUAUAGUCAAUGAAACUGACCUUCCCGUGAAGAGGCGGGGAUUAAAAAACAAGACGAGAAGACCCUAUGGAGCUUAAAUUAAUUAGCUCACUUAUACUACUCUUAAUCAACAAGAGAUAAAAAACAAACUAUGAGCUAAUAAUUUUGGUUGGGGUGACCUCGGAGCAAAAACAAACCUCCGAAUGAUUCUAACUUAGACCUACAAGUCAAAGACUCAGUCAUAAAUUGACCCAGAAACUAUCUGAUCAAUGAACCAAGUUACCCUAGGGAUAACAGCGCAAUCCUAUUCUAGAGUCCAUAUCGACAAUAGGGUUUACGACCUCGAUGUUGGAUCAGGACCCCCAAAUGGUGCAACCGCUAUUAAAGGUUCGUUUGUUCAACGAUUAAAGUCCUACGUGAUCUGAGUUCAGACCGGAGCAAUCCAGGUCGGUUUCUAUCUAUUAAACUAUUUCUCCCAGUACGAAAGGACAAGAGAAAUUAGGCCAAUGGUGCAACCAUGCCUUGGUAGGAAAAGAAUGAUAUUAUAUCAACUCCUUAGCUACCAAACAGCACAACCCGAGAUAAGGGUUU